CUUAGCUCAGGGGCAGAGCGCUCCCCUCGUAAGGGAGAGGCCGUCAGUUCAAUUCUGGCAGG
rnacentral:tRNA from 1 species